AUUAAGCCACUCCGAUAUAGCAGCCACCCAGACAACUGCAACUCCAAUCCGUCUGUUAAGAAAAUAAGUCAAGGGGAACAGGAGAAGAAAAGCAGCUUUGGGGUCCCCAACAUCAACCUCAGUCAGUCCCUGCUCACUCAGCUCCUGAAACUGACCCCAGCCAGCUGUUCCAAAUGGCCGUCUUCUAACCCCACUUCCCAGUGUAUCAUCUACUCUCAGGCCUAACCCAUACAUAAUUGGGUAGUGAUCACUACCUACUGUGUGCUCCUCCUGUAUCUACAACCACACAAUACUUUCAUUGUCUGUGAAUGUGAGAGCAACGCUGAGGUUUACGAAUGGAGGUCAGCAUCACGGAAUGUGGCAGAUGAGAUAUCCCCUGCCCUAUGACUCCUCCGCACCCUUGCUUCCUGACCCACUAUCGAGUACAUCCCUCACCCAAAUAAGGUGCUCCUGGCUCCCAUCACCAAUGUGAGUGAAUAGGGCAGGAAGCUUCUUCUGGAAUGUGCCAGAGUUUCCCAACAGAUUCCUUCAAUGGCUGCUGCCUAAGAUGUGCUGUAUAUGAAGAAGUAAUGGACAACGGCUACACCCACACACAAACGCACAGAUACAAACACAGCACAUUUGCUAUGCUUACAUAACAUUUAUUCUUCUACUUAAUUGUAAUGGUAUAGUAUAUUAAUUGAAAUUGUGUGUCUAUGUGUUGUGGACUAAUAAUUGUUGACUUUGUUUGGGAAGAUUGAGGAAUUUGUUAAUGAUAUAGCUUGUAAUUUGUAGAUGAGGAGUACGUUAAUAGGUUGGAGUGUUCUUUGUGGCAAAAUUCAUGAAUAUUGUUGAAAAUAACUGCACUGGGCUGCUCCUAAUCUGCAUACUUCAAGAGUCACGAAUGCUGCAUGACAGAAUUGUUUCUGGGUUGUUAGAUGAGUCCCUCCAGUGGCAUCUUGGUUGAGCACAGUAGGACAACCAGAGUGGCUGAGGCAAAAGCUUAAGCCGCUGAAGACCAAGGAGGGGGAGACAAGAUUAAUUUAAGUCUUUGGGUAAAAUAAUUGAUUCUGUUGUAUGUGAUUUUUCUAUGUUGGCGUUUGUAUGUCUGGUGUAGCAGAAAAUCAAACAAAUUGUCAGAUCUUUGCAUUUACCUCCUGGGAAAAACAAGCCCAUUAUUAUGUCAUCAGUCCUUUCUGAGUGCUCAUGGAACUUGAAUGCAUCACAGUGUGAUUUCAUAAAGUUACAUUACUGCACUGCUGGUUGCUAUGGAAACUAUAAGCAUCACAAUGGCUUUCUCCUUAUAAAAACUUGAAUGCUAUCCUCAUUUUGCUUCACAUUUCUUCAGAGAGCACCUAAGUAGUGCUCUCUGAAAUCUUGUUUGAUAAAAAACAAACUCUAGAUCAAAAUGAAAUAGUCAGAAUGUACUUAUGGGCACCGAUGGGUCAAGCUCAGAGCCCAACUGCUCUAACUGCCAACCCGCACAUAUUAAGGAAGUUGUUAGGGCAAAGAAGAUGAAGACCCAUCCGAUUUGGGCUGCCUUCUAGGGAUGUGCAUGACAAAUAUUUUCACUAUCGAUAAUUCCUCAGCUUUUGUCGUUGAAUAGUUGACCCCACACACUCGUUCCCAAAAGAGGUACUAAAUGGAAAAAAUAAAUAUGUAAAUUGUAGUAUGCUAUGCAAUAAAUUCAAAGUUGUAUUUAAAUAUGUUAUUAACAACCUCAAUAACGUUUUAGUAUAAACAAUCAGGCCAGAUGUACUUUUACUCAGGAGACAUUCAGAUUCAGAUAUGCCUUAACGGCAGCAAAUAACCUAACGCAUAGGCCUGUCAAGUCGUUAGUAUUGUCAGGUCCUUGCUGGGGUUCCUCUAGGCAUCUCUAUGUGCCUGGAGGCCACAGUCUGGGUCUGACUCAUAGACUGUAAAUAUGGUCUGACUGCAGAAGUGCCUUUUGGCAUAUCUAUGUAUCUAUGCACUACUGUUUAAUUAUCCCCAAUAAGAGGCAGCUGCCUUUGAUGGGGGUCCUAUUUAAGUUGCGCUGUUUGUCCUUUGUUUGUUGGUCAUUGUUUGUAGUUAGCGGUGCUAGGCUUGGUUGUUACGCUUCAGUUCAUGGUCAUACCCGCCUUUUGUUCUUUUUGGUUAAGUUUGGAAUAAGAAACAUUAAAAGGAUGUCUGUGCUCUAAUCUGCGCUUGUGUCCUGCCUCCUCAAUCAUGACAAGUAAAUUAUUACAAGUGAUUUAUUUCAAAUUAUUGUUACAACGUUUUACAUUAAUUACAAUUGCAAAUGAACUAUAAACGUCAUCUAAAAACACGCAUUGUCCCCCAUGAUUUAGCACAGAGAUGUGUAUGAAUUG